rnacentral:rRNA from 1 species
UGGGGAAUUUUGGACAAUGGGGGAAACCCUGAUCCAGCCAUCCCGCGUGUGCGAUGAAGGCCUUCGGGUUGUAAAGCACUUUUGGCAGGAAAGAAACGUCAUGGGUUAAUACCCCGUGAAACUGACGGUACCUGCAGAAUAAGCACCGGCUAACUACGUGCCAGCAGCCGCGGUAAUACGUAGGGUGCAAGCGUUAAUCGGAAUUACUGGGCGUAAAGCGUGCACAGGCGGUUCGGAAAGAAAGAUGUGAAAUCCCAGAGCUCAACUUUGGAACUGCAUUUUUAACUAACGGGCUAGAGGGUGUCAGAGGGAGGUGGAAUUCCGCGUGUAGCAGUGACAUGCGUAGAUAUGCGGAGGAACACGGAUGGCGAAGGCAGGCUCCUGGGAUAACACUGACGCUCAUGCACGAAAGCGUGGGGAGCAAACAGG